rnacentral:rRNA from 1 species
UACGGGGGGGGGUAAGCGUUGUUCGGAAUUACUGGGCGUAAAGCGCGCGUAGGCGGCUUUGCAAGUCGGGUGUGAAAUCCCCAGGCUUAACCUGGGAACUGCAUUCGAGACUGCAUUGCUAGAGUAUGGGAGAGGGAAGUGGAAUUUCCGGUGUAGCGGUGAAAUGCGUAGAUAUCGGGAGGAACACCAGUGGCGAAGGCGACUACCUGGCCUGUUUCUUGACGCUGAGGCGCGAAAGCUAGGGGAGCAAACGGGG